AGAAAAAUGAGUUUGCUCCUCAGAAAUGUGCAGAGACUCCAAUGCAGAGAGCUGGCUCUGCCUCUCCUCUCUCCCAGGUUCAAGUGUGCAGCUGCUGUCACUCAGAGUUACCUCUCCUGAAAUAAUGUGAUCCUGCUCUCAUCCCUCCGAGGACACCAGUGCCAAGCUUCCAUGAGGCUCAGGUAUCUCAUCCUCUGAGCACCUGGGAAGGAGGAGGAAGGCACCUCUGCCCACCUGACCCCCUGCCCCACAGCAGAAAUGGGUGCAUCAGCCCUGCUGAGUUCUCUGAGCUCACCCCAGUGGUGCUGAGCCUGUGGUUUUCAGUGAGCAGAGCAGCAGCAUCACAGGGGGUGAGGAUGUCUCUCAUCUUUCCAGAGCUGUCACACAGCUGGGGAACAAUCUGGGUCACUGUGUCACUACUAAUACACUUGUUCCCUGACAGCAGCAGGGAUUCUGCCUGUUCCUUCCUGCAGAUACACCUUCAAGAUGCCACACUUCUGGGCAGGACUCAAGCAGCACAGCUUUGCCAUCCAUCUUUGUCCUGAACACUCAGUGUAAGACACUUGACAAGCAGAUUUCUUUUAGAGGAAUUGAUAAAAAUGCUCACCUGCAGAAGACAUGCCAGCAUUUUUUUUUCUUACAUCUUCUACAAUUUAGAGUGAUUUAAUUUUAGAGUGAUUUAAAUUUAGUCCAACUUCUAGAUGACAAUUCCAUCACCCUCACUACGUUUUUCUCUGAAAAAAUCAAAUUACUGGAGGCAAUUACUGUCCUGGGUAGUCCUUCAUCCAAAGCUGUGACAUGUGGUCUCUGGGAGUACCAUGGCCCACAGGAUGGCUCUCCAUGCUCCAGAAAGGGAUGAGCUAGAGGAGGAGAAUGGUGACUUGGGCACAAAGCUGCCUGCUUGGCAAAGCUGGCUGGGGCAAGCAGUGCCUGUAUUACUGUGCCUGUUCAGCAGCGUUGCCAGGGGAACCUGGAGCACGGCUCAAGCUUUUGUCAGACCCAAGGAAACUUUGCUGUGUUCUUCCUGCUUCAGCUUACAAUAAAUAAACAAUGCCACAGGCAUCACUUUGUGUCCUUUCAUCCAAAA